AUUGAACGCUGGCGGCAUGCCUUACACAUGCAAAUCGAACGGUAACGGGCCUUCGGGUGCCGACGAGUGGCGAACGGGUGAGUAAUACAUCGGAACGUGCCCGAUCGUGGGGGAUAACGAGGCGAAAGCUUUGCUAAUACCGCAUACGAUCUACGGAUGAAAGCAGGGGACCGCAAGGCCUUGCGCGGACGGAGCGGCCGAUGGCAGAUUAGGAAGUUGGUGGGAUAAAAGCUUACCAAGCCGACGAUCUGUAGCUGGUCUGAGAGGAUGAUCAGCCACACUGGGACUGAGACACGGCCCAGACUCCUACGGGAGGCAGCAGUGGGGAAUUUUGGACAAUGGGCGCAAGCCUGAUCCAGCCAUGCCGCGUGCAGGAUGAAGGCCUUCGGGUUGUAAACUGAUUUUGUACGGAACGAAAAGCCUUCUUUUAAUACAGGAGGGUCAUGACGGUACCGUAAGAAUAAGCACCGGCUAACUACGUG
rnacentral:rRNA from 1 species